AGACGGAGGGUGCAAGCGUUAAUCGGAAUUACUGGGCGUAAAGCGCUCGUAGGCGGCCUGUUAAGUCGGAUGUGAAAGCCCCGGGCUCAACCUGGGAACUGCAUUCGAAACUGGCAGGCUAGAGUAUAGUAGAGGCAAGUGGAAUUCCGGGUGUAGCGGUGAAAUGCGUAGAUAUCCGGAGGAACAUCAGUGGCGAAGGCGACUUGCUGGACUAAUACUGACGCUGUGGAGCGAAAGCGUGGGGAGCAAACGGGAUUAGAAACCCCGGUAGUCC
rnacentral:rRNA from 1 species